rfam:Gossypium raimondii Chr01_contig_408, whole genome shotgun sequence.
GAAGUGAGGAGACAUUUUAUUAUUGUGUCUCUUCCUUGAGGUAUAGUGAAAUCGAAGGCUGAGAUAUUGUUCCAGUUAUCAGUUUUCUCAAUUGAUAAAAAUUGGUUGUUGCUUGUGCACAU